rnacentral:rRNA from 1 species
AUAAGAUUUUAAUUGAAUGCUAAGAGAAUGGAAGUCCAGAAAAAAACUUUUUUUAAAUUAAAAAUUGAAGUUUUUUUAAUUUGUGCAGAAACAAUUAUUUAUAUUAAGGACAAGAAGACCCUAUGAAUUUAUUAAAUUUUUAUUUAAUAUGUAAUUACUAUUAAAAAAAUUUUGGCUGGGGCGGCUAAAAAAUAUUAUAAACUUUUUAAAAAUAAAAUGAUCCACUAUUAAUGAUUUUAUGUUAAAUACUCUAGGGAUAACAGCGUUAUAUUUUUUGAUAGAUCAUAUUGACAAAAAAGUUUGCGACCUCGAUGUUGGAUUAGGAUACUUUUUUAAUGCAGAUAUUAAAAAAAGAAGUU